rnacentral:lncRNA from 1 species
GCCUGGCUCAGAGGAUGCAGUGUUUGAGGAAGGCUGAGGAGGAGCCCUGUUCUCUGAGGAGACAACGUGGAGGGGUGGAAGGAGGAGGAGAGCCAGCAAAGCCUCCCGUGGGAGGGAGAUCUGAAGACUCUUGCUGGGAUCAUCUUCUCCACUCCUCUGGCCAUCAUUGCCUACUUCCUCAUCUGGUUUGUGCCUGACUUCCCUCCAGGGAUGGAAAGGUCGCAUGGGUUCCUUUGGUACCUGCUUUUCUACUGUCUCUUUGAGACACUGGUCACGUGUUUCCACGUUCCCUACUCCGCACUCACCAUGUUCAUCAGCACAGAGCAGAGUGAGCGGGACUCGGCCACUGCCUAUAGUAAGUCCCUUCCUCAUCAGCAUGGUCCUGUGUGCAGGCGUUCCUAGUCCUCUCUGCUCCUGGUCUCCCUCCCACACCUCGUACUAUACAGGCCCAGCUCUUUGCUCUACUCCCGUGUGUGUGUGUGUGUGUGUGUGUGUGUGUGUGUGUGUGUG